rnacentral:rRNA from 1 species
CCUACGGGGGGCUGCAGUGGGGAAUAUUGGACAAUGGGGGGAACCCUGAUCCAGCCAUGCCGCGUGUGUGAAGAAGGCCCUCGGGUUGUAAAGCACUUUCAGUGAGGAAGAACGCCUGGUGGUUAAUACCCAUCAGGAAAGACAUCACUCACAGAAGAAGCACCGGCUAACUCCGUGCCAGCAGCCGCGGUAAUACGGAGGGUGCGAGCGUUAAUCGGAAUUACUGGGCGUAAAGCGCGCGUAGGUGGCUUGAUAAGCCGGUUGUGAAAGCCCCGGGCUCAACCUGGGAACGGCAUCCGGAACUGUCAAGCUAGAGUGCAGGAGAGGAAGGUAGAAUUCCCGGUGUAGCGGUGAAAUGCGUAGAGAUCGGGAGGAAUACCAGUGGCGAAGGCGGACUUCUGGACUGACACUGACACUGAGGUGCGAAAGCGUGGGUAGCAAACAGGAUUAGAUACCCCAGUAGUC